ACCUACAACAUACAGUAUAAUAUCAGAUUCAAAGCUAUGGUACCAUGUUCACGAAUUUUACCUGCGCCUCUCUCCCACACUCUCAUCCUGAGGAAAAACCUCAUGGUGCUCGAAAAGAGGUCCAAUCUUCUCCAAGGGCAGCUUAUUCACCUCGAGAUCCUGGAUAGAGAUGGGAAUAAGGAAAUGAGAAGCAUUCAAACAUGUUUGAUUACCCCUUUA